ACAGCCACAUCAUGUUGAAACACCGGUUCUAGUCAAAUCACCGAAAUUAAGCAACAUCGAGCCUGGUCAGUGCCUAGAUGGGUGACCGUUUGGGAAUAUCACCUGCUGUAAG